UACGAAGGGUGCAAACGUUGCUCGGAAUUAUUGGGCGUAAAGCGCACGUAGGCGGCUUAGCAAGUCGGAUGUGAAAGCCCUCGGCUCAACCAAGGAAGUGCAUCCGAAACUGCUGAGCUUGAGUACUUAAGAGGAUCGCGGAAUUCCCGGUGUAGAGGUGAAAUUCGUAGAUAUCUGGAGGAACACCGGUGGCGAAGGCGGCGUUCUGGACUGCAACUGACACUGAGGAACGAAAGCCAGGGGAGCAAACGGG
rnacentral:rRNA from 1 species